AACGAACGCUGGCGGCAUGCCUAACACAUGCAAGUCGAACGAGACCUUCGUGUUUAGUGGCGCAGGGGUGCGUAACGCGUGGGAACCUGCCCUUAGGUUCGGAAUCACUCCCCUUAAGGGGUCCUCAUACCGGUUAAUCUCUUCGGACCUAAGAUUUAUCGCCUUUGGAUGGGCCCGCGUUGGAUUAGCUAGUUGGUAGGGUAAAAGCCUACCAAGGCGACGAUGCAUAGCUGGUCGGAGAGGAUGAUCAGCCACACUGGGACUGAGACACGGCCCAGACUCGGACGGGAGGGAGCAGUGGGGAAUAUUGGACAAUGGACGAAAGUCUGACCCAGCAAUGCCGCGUGAGUGAUGAAGGGCUUAGGGUUGUAAAGCUCUUUUACACGGGAUGAUAAUGACAGUACCGGGAGAAUAAGCACCGGCUAACUCCGUG
rnacentral:rRNA from 1 species